rnacentral:rRNA from 1 species
GACGAACGCUGGCGGCGUGCUUAACACAUGCAAGUCGAACGAAGUGGCGAACGGGUGAGUAACGCGUAAUCAACCUGCCCUUCAGAGGGGGACAACAGUUGGAAACGACUGCUAAUACCGCAUACUGAAGGAGGGGAUUGCGUCUGAUUAGCUAGUCGGAGGGGUAACGGCACACCAAGGCGAUGAUCAGUAGCAGGGCUGAGAGGAUGAACGGCCAAAGUUGGACUGGGACACGGGCCAGACUCCUACGGGAGGCAGCAGUGGGGAAGCUGCCGCAAUGGAAGAAAGUCUGACGGAGCACCGCCGCGUGAGUGAUGACGGCCUUCGGGGUGUAAAGCUCUGUUAAUCGGGACGCGGUACCGGAAUAGAAAGCCACGGCUAACUACGUGCCAGCCGCCGCGGUAAUUC